UACAUGGGGUGCAAACGUUGCUCGGAAUUAUUGGGCGUAAAGCGCACGUAGGCGGUUCGUUAAGUCGGAUGUGAAAGCCCUCGGCUCAACUGAGGAAGUGCACCCGAAACUGGCGAGCUUGAGUACGAAAGAGGAUCGCGGAAUUCCCGGUGUAGAGGUGAAAUUCGUAGAUAUCGGGAGGAACACCGGUGGCGAAGGCGGCGAUCUGGGUCGAUACUGACGCUGAGGCGCGAAAGCGUGGGUAGCAAACAGG
rnacentral:rRNA from 1 species